AUCAGUCAGAGAGUCCUGUAGGAUCCAGAUAAUUUAGAUCUCAAUCCUGUCGAGGAGUUCGAAUGUUCAUUUGUUGAUGGAACUAGCUGGAUUGUGAUGAUUUCUGGGUUUUCUACGAAGAUUGCAGUGUUGGGUACCGGAAUCUGACCCUAGAAAGUGAUUGUUUUGGUCCUUGGUAUGGUUUUUAACCUGUAUCUGCCCUAGUCGGAGGUUUUUUUUUCCAAUUUGUUAUAUACUGAACAACUGUUGUGCUCAAGUGGGAAAUUAAAUUCCGCUCACAACCUACAACUCUCGUCGUAUCGUGUCUUGUGUUCUGGAGUGUCCUGACAACUUCCCCCAAAAAAUCCAGAAUACUACAAGUGGUGUCAGAAGUGGGAUAGAACUUGAGCAUCGAUAGACGGCAACUAAGAAGCAAGAAAAGAAGAACAUCAUUAGACGGAAACCAAGAAGCAAGAAAGAAAACCUCCGACUUUGGUUGUAUGGAGUUCGAAUGUUCAUUUGUUGAUGGAACUAGCUGGAUUGUGAUGAUUUCUGGGUUUUCUACGAAGAUUGCAGUGUUGGGUACCGGAAUCUGACCCUAGAAAGUGAUUGUUUUGGUCCUUGGUAUGGUUUUUAACCUGUAUCUGCCCUAGUCGGAGGUUUUUUUUUCCAAUUUGUUAUAUACUGAACAACUGUUGUGCUCAAGUGGGAAAUUAAAUUCCGCUCACAACCUACAACUCUCGUCGUAUCGUGUCUUGUGUUCUGGAGUGUCCUGACAACUUCCC